CCCAGUAUGGAGUAGUGGUUUAGGCACUGGACUUGGGAUCUGAAGGCCAGAGUUCAAAUCCCUGUUCAGCCA